UUGACCUCAAAUCAGGUAGGACUACCCGCUGAACUUAAGCAUAUCAAUAAGCGGAGGAAAAGAAACUANCAAGGAUUCCCCUAGUAACUGCGAGUGAAGCGGGAAAAGCUCAAAUUUGAAAUCUGGCAGUCUUUUUUUUCUUCUUUGGCUGUCCGAGUUGUAAUCUAGAGAAGUGCUUACCUGCGCUGGACCAUGUAUAAGUCUCCUGGAAUGGAGCCUCACAGAGGGUGAGAAUCCCGUCUUUGACAUGGACCGCCAGUGCGUUGUGGUGCGCUCUCAAAGAGUCGAGUUGUUUGGGAAUGCAGCUCUAAACGGGUGGUAAACUCCAUCUAAAGCUAAAUAUUGGCGAGAGACCGAUAGCGAACAAGUACCGUGAGGGAAAGAUGAAAAGGACUUUGGAAAGAGAGUUAAACAGUAUGUGAAAUUGUUGAAAGGGAAACGCUUGAAGUCAGUUAUGUCGGCUGGGGAUCAACCUAGCCAUCUUUUUGGCUGGGUGAAUUUCCUAGUCUGACAGGCCAACAUCAGUCUUGACUGCCGGAAAAGAGCGGAGGGAAUGUGGCACCUUUGGGUGUGUUAUAGCCCUCUGUCAUAUGCGGCAGUCGGGACUGAGGGAUGCAGCGUGCCGCGAGGCUGGGUUUCGACCACGUUCACGCUUAGGAUGUUGGCUUUUAAUGGCUCCAAUCGACCCGUCUUGAAACACGGACCAAGGAGUCUAACAUGCCUGCGAGUGUUUGGGUGGAAAACCCUUGUGCACAAUGAAAGUGAAAGUUGAGAUCCCCGUCAUGGGGAGCAUCGACGCCCGGACUUGAGCUUUUAGCGACGGAUCCGCGGUAGAGCAUGCAUGUUGGGACCCGAAAGAUGGUGAACUAUGCCUGAAUAGGGCAAAGCCAGAGGAAACUCUGGUGGAGGCUCGUAGCGAUUCUGACGUGCAAAUCGAUCGUCAAAUUUGGGUAUAGGGGCGAAAGACUAAUCGAACCAUCUAGUAGCUGGUUCCUGC
rnacentral:rRNA from 1 species